CGCACGGGUGAGUAACACGUAUCCAACCUGCCGUCUACUCUUGGACAGCCUUCUGAAAGGAAGAUUAAUACAAGAUGGCAUCAUGAGUCCGCAUGUUCACAUGAAUUAAAGGUAUUCCGGUAGACGAUGGGGAUGCGUUCCAUUAGAUAGUAGGCGGGGUAACGGCCCACCUAGUCUUCGAUGGAUAGGGGUUCUGAGAGGAAGGUCCCCCACAUUGGAACUGAGACACGGUCCAA
rnacentral:rRNA from 1 species